UACGGGGGGGGCAAGCGUUGUUCGGAAUUACUGGGCGUAAAGGGCUCGUAGGCGGCCAACUAAGUCAGACGUGAAAUCCCUCGGCUUAACCGGGGAACUGCGUCUGAUACUGGAUGGCUCGAGUUUGGGAGAGGGAUGCGGAAUUCCAGGUGUAGCGGUGAAAUGCGUAGAGAUCAGGAAGAACACCCGUGGCGAAGGCGGCCCACUGGGCCGGUGCUGACGCUGAGGCGCGAAGGCGUGGGGAGCGAACGGG
rnacentral:rRNA from 1 species